GACGAACGCUGGCGGCGUGCUUAACACAUGCAAGUCGAGCGGUAAGGCCUUUCGGGGUACACGAGCGGCGAACGGGUGAGUAACACGUGGGUGACCUGCCUUUAGCUUCGGGGAUAAGCCCUGGGGAAACCGGGUCGUAAUACCCGGAUAUGACCUCAUGUCGCAUGGUGUGGGGUGGAAAGUUCUUACGGCUAGAGAUGGGGCCUGCGGCCUAUCUAGGCUUGUUGGUGGGGU
rnacentral:rRNA from 1 species